rnacentral:rRNA from 1 species
UGGGGAAUUUUGCACAAUGGGCGCAAGCCUGAUGCAGCGACGCCGCGUGAGGGAUGAAGGCCUUCGGGUUGUAAACCUUUUUCGCUCAUGGUCAAGCCGCAGCUUUGGGUUGUGGUGAGGGUAGUGGGUAAAGAAGCGCCGGCUAACUACGUGCCAGCAGCCGCGGUAAUACGUAGGGCGCGAGCGUUGUCCGGAAUUAUUGGGCGUAAAGGGCUUGUAGGCGGUUGGCCGCGUCUGCCGUGAAAUCCUCUGGCUUAACUGGGGGCGUGCGGUGGGUACGGGUUGACUUGAGGGCGGUAGGGGAGACUGGAAUUCCUGGUGUAGCGGUGGAAUGCGCAGAUAUCAGGAGGAACACCGGUGGCGAAGGCGGGUCUCUGGGCCGUUACUGACGCUGAGGAGCGAAAGCGUGGGGAGCGAACAGG